rnacentral:lncRNA from 13 species
AAGUUCCUCGGUGUCCACAUCAACAACAAACUAGAAUGGUCCAAACACACCAAGACAGUCGUGAAGAGGGCACGACAAAGCCUAUUCCCCCUCGGGAAACUAAAAAGAUUUGGCAAGGGUCCUUAGAUCCUCAAAAGGUUCUACAGCUUCAACAUCAAGAGCAUGGUUGCAUCACUGCUUGGCCUCUGACCGCAAGGCACUACAGAGGCUAGUGCGUACGGCCCAGUACAUCACUGGGGCUAAGCUGCCUGCCAUCCAGGACCUCUACACCAGGCAGUCAUAGACUGUUCUCUCUACUACCGUAUGGCAAGCCAUACCGGAGUGCCAAGUCUAGGACAAAAAGGCUUCUCAACAGUUUUUACCCCCAAGCCAUAAGACUCCUGAACAGGUAAUCAAAUGGCUACCUGGACUAUUUGCAUUGUGUGCCCCCCCACCCCAACCCCUCCUUUUACGCUGCUGCUACUCUCUGUUUAUCAUAUAUGCAUAGUCACUUUAACUAUACAUUCAUGUACAUACUGCCUCAAUUGGGCCGACCAACCAGUGCUCACGCACAGUGGCUAACCGGGCUAUCUGUGUUGUGUCCCACCUACCACCCGCCAACCCCUCUUUUACGCUACUGCUACUCUCUGUUCAUCAUAAAUGUUAGGGGAUAUUGAGUGUAUACUUGUACUGUUAGGGGGGAUUGAGUGUAUACUUGUACUGUUAGGGGAGAUUGAGUGUAUACUUGUACUGUUAGGGGAGAUUGAGUGUAUACUUGUACUGUUAGGGGAGAUUGAGUGUAUACUUGUACUGUUAGGGGGGAUUGAGUGUAUACUUGUACUGUUAGGGGGGAUUGAGUGUAUACUUGUACUGUUAGGGGAGAUUGAGUGUAUACUUGUACUGUUAGGGGAUUGAGUGUAUACUUGUACUGUUAGGGGAGAUUGAGUGUAUACUUGUACUGUUAGGGGAGAUUGAGUGUAUACUUGUACUGUUAGGGGAGAUUGAGUGUAUACUUGUACUGUUAGGGGAGAUUGAGUGUAUACUUGUACUGUUAGGGGAGAUUGAGUGUAUAUGGCUACUGCCUGUGCUGCUGCUGGACCUACUGUGUUAACACCAUGUGGGAAGGUAUUUUCCCCUCGUCCUGCCACGGAACAGACAAAACUUUGAGUAAAACAGAGAGAGGGAGAGAGAGGGGGAUGUGGAGGAUAACAAGAGGGAUAGGGAAGAGAGAGAGAGAGAGAGAGAGAGAGAGAGACAGAGAGACAGAGAGAGUUGUGAUUUUAACUGUCGGUGUCUGAACAUGUACAUUGCUCAUUGAGUUGUAGAUUAGACCAUGACUGUGGGGUUUGUUUUGGACUCAGAGACCUAAGGAUGUUUUUCAAAUUACACCCUAUUCCCUAAAAUAGUGCACUGGUCCACUACGUAUAUAGGGGAUAGGUUUUCAUGUGAUUCGCACAGUAAUCACAUAGUCACUGGAAUAUCACCCUAAUGUGUUUGUUUGGCGGUCUACGGCACACAAAGUCUGUUAUGAGAUCCUCAUACUUGGAGAGUCCUGUGUGUGUGUGUGUGUGUGUGUGUGUGUGUGUGUGUGUGUGUGUGUGUGUGUGUGUGUGUGUGUGUGUGUGUGUGUGAGGCAGCUUGUUAAAGAGUAUGAGCCAGAGAUAGAUGGCUCAUUUUUUGGGAAUGAAACACAUUGCUACUUUUCCAAUCCCAGAAAUUCAGAAGUAGAUAGCUCUCAGUUUUUCCACUCAUUUGGGACUUUUUAAAAACCAAUCUUAGAAAAAAGUUUUCUAAAAGUUUUUUUUGUCUGUCCCCGUAGGAAAACACUUAUUGGUUCCAGGUAGAACCGUUCUUGGUUCCAUAUAAAACCCUUUUGGGUUCCAUGUAGAACCCUCUGAAGAAAUAGUUCUACAUGGAGCCCAAAAGGGUUCUUCUACCUGCAGCAAAAUGUAGGGUUCUACCUGGAACCAAGAUGCAAAAUGAAGGGUUCUACCUGGAACCAAGAUGCAAAAUGAAGGGUUCUACCUGGAACCAAGAUGCAAAAUGUAGGCCUCUACCUGCAGCAAAAUGUAGGGUUCUACCUGCAACCAAGAUGCAAAAUGUAGGGUUCUGCCUGGAACCAAGAUGCAAAAUGUAGGCCUCUACCUGCAGCAAAAUGUAGGGUUCUACCUGCAACCAAGAUGCAAAAUGUAGGGUUCUACCUGCAACCAAGAUGUAAAAUGUAGGGUUCUGCCUGCAGCAAAAUAUAGGGUUCUUCAAAGUGUCGUUUAAGGUUCGAGAUAGCUCCUUUCUUUCCAAGAGUGUGGACGUCUCGACUAAAAUCACUAACGUCUCGACUAACAUCACUAACGUCUCGACUAACAUCACUAACGUCUCGACUAACAUCACUAACGUCUCGACUAACAUCACUAACGUCUCGACUAAAAUCACUAACGUCUCGACUAACAUCACUAACGUCUCGACUAAAAUCACUAACGUCUCGAAGUUUCUGACUGUCCACUUUUAGUUUUUU